rnacentral:rRNA from 1 species
GACGAACGCUGGCGGCGUGCUUAACACAUGCAAGUCGAACGGAAAGGCCCUGCUUGCAGGGUGCUCGAGUGGCGAACGGGUGAGUAACACGUGGGUGAUCUGCCCCUUACUUUGGGAUAAGCCUGGGAAACUGGGUCUAAUACUGGAUAGGACCAUGCUGUAGGUGGUGUGGUGGAAAGAUUAGUUUCGGUAAGGGAUGAGCUCGCGGCCUAUCAGCUUGUUGGUGGGGUAAUGGCCUACCAAGGCGUCGACGGGUAGCCGGCCUGAGAGGGUGGACGGCCACAUUGGGACUGAGAUACGGCCCAGACUCCUACGGGAGGCUGCAGUGGGGAAUAUUGCACAAUGGGCGCAAGCCUGAUGCAGCGACGCCGCGUGGGGGAUGACGGGCUUCGGGUUGUAAACUCCUUUCAGCCAUGACGAAGCCCUUGUGGUGACGGUAGUGGUAGAAGAAGCACCGGCUAACUACGUG